CUCCUGCAGCUCUAACCAGGCUUUCCCUGAGUUGGGAGGUGAGUUCCCAGAGAGCAGGGAUUCAUGCCUGGACAAACUGGACAGAAGAGGCCCCAAGUGGGCAAAUGUAUGCCUCACGUGAGCUUGCAACAGACUUCUG
ensembl:ribozyme RNaseP_nuc Nuclear RNase P